rnacentral:lncRNA from 1 species
CAAUAACUAUCCUACUUUUGCCAUAUCUUUUAAAGUAAUCAGGAAAUAUUUUUAAUUACCGUCUAACUACCAAAAAUUCAAUACCUAUUUUUAAUUAUUCAACUAUUUCCUUUUGUGAAAUUUAAUAUCUAUUGUUAGUCAGUAAGACGAUCACUUGUAUUAUUCUAAAUUCAGCAAACUUUUUCACACUUGAUCUGAAAAGUGCCUUAUAUUUUAAAAUAGAGAAAUUUUAUGGUUUAUAAACUUUUUAUAUGUCACAAAAUUCAUCAAAUAAAAUAGAUUUCGAUUUUAUGGCUAAUUUCAUACAGAUUCCUGAAAACAUACUGAAUGAUAAAUAUAUUCCUACAAAGUUCAAUUUUUAUAUAUUGUCUCUGCAAACGUUAUGAUAUUUUCAAAUUAAUAUGUUCCUGCCGUUAGAAUCCGUUAGAAAAAUUUAGUUAACCAUAAACUAAAUACUUAAAUUUGAUAAUUUUUCACAUAUUUAUCCCUUUAUAUCAUCAUACUGUUAUGACUGUUGGAGGGAUAUAUUUGUGAUGACAAAAUUAAAAAUAUAAAUAAUUCUCUAACGAUAAUAAAUCAGAAGAACAUAUUUGAAAAUAUCAAAUUUUUUCCGAAAACAAUAUAUGAAAGUUGAACUUUGUACUUUGUAGUGAUAUAUUUGUCAUUCACUACACGUAUGAAUUAUGAAAUUAACUUCUCUCAUAAAAGUAC